rnacentral:rRNA from 1 species
UACGAAGGGGGCUAGCGUUGCUCGGAAUUACUGGGCGUAAAGGGCGCGUAGGCGGAUAUUUAAGUUGGGGGUGAAAUCCCGGGGCUCAACCUCGGAAUUGCCUUCAAAACUGGAUAUCUUGAGUUCGGGAGAGGUGAGUGGAACUCCGAGUGUAGAGGUGAAAUUCGUAGAUAUUGGGAAGAACACCGGUGGCGAAGGCGGCGACCUGGUCCGAUACUGACGCUGAGGCGCGAAAGCGUGGGGAGCAAACAGG